rnacentral:rRNA from 1 species
UACGUAGGUGGCGAGCGUUGUCCGGAAUUACUGGGCGUAAAGCGUGCGCAGGCGGCUUUGCAAGACAGAUGUGAAAUCCCCGGGCUCAACCUGGGAACUGCAUUUGUGACUGCAAGGCUAGAGUACGGUAGAGGGGGAUGGAAUUCCGCGUGUAGCAGUGAAAUGCGUAGAUAUGCGGAGGAACACCGAUGGCGAAGGCAAUCCCCUGGACCUGCACUGACGCUCAUGCACGAAAGCGUGGGGAGCAAACAGG